GCGGCCGUGACCCUGCUGGAGUGCGGGGGGGACCUCCAGCCCCCCGGGGGAUCCCUGACGUUGCUCAGCCGAGGGUCCGGGUUCAGUUUCGGGGAUUAUGGAAUGUGCUGGAUCUGCCAGAGACCCGGGCAGGCUUUGGAAUACGUCGCAGGCAUCUACUACAAUAGCGCCAACACCUACUACGCGCCAUCAGUCAAGGGCCGGUUCACGAUCUCCAGGGACAACGGGCAGAGCUCGGUGACGCUGACCAUGAACAACCUCAAGGAUGAGGAUUCCGCCGUUUAUUUCUGCGCCAAGUGUGCUGCUAAUAAUUACCCUGAAUAUGCUGCUCAUCGUAAACCAGCCAUGCACUGA